CUUCGGGGUGCCCAGGCGCGAAAACUCCACAAUGUACGGAAGUACGAUGGGGUUAUCUCGAGUGCAGUCCGAUAAGGGCUGCUUUUCCAUAGAGUAAUAUCCUGUGGGAAUAAGAGGGGGGCAAGACUGGUGUCAGCCGCCGCGGUAACACCAGCCCCUCGAGUGGUGGGGACUAUUAUUUGGUCUAAAGCGUCCGUAGCUGGCUGUAUCCGUCCCCCGUUAAAUCCAGCGUCCUAAGCGUUGGACUGCGGGUGAUACCAUACAGCUAGAGGGUGGGAUAGGUGAGCGGUAUUUCUGGGGUAGGGGCGAAAUCCUUUGAUCCCAGGAGGACCACCAGUGGCGAAGGCUGCUCACUAGAACACGCCUGACGGUCAGGGACGAAAGCUGGGGCAGCGAACCGGAUUAGAUACCCGGGUAGUCCCAGCUGUAAACGAUGCUAGCUAGGUGUUGGGUCGGCCACGCGCCGCCCCAGUGCCGCAGGGAAGCCGUUAAGCUAGCCACCUGGGGAGUACGGCCGCAAGGCUGAUACUUAAAGGAAUUGGCGGGGGAGCAC
rnacentral:rRNA from 1 species